AGGAGCAUAUAACGGCAACCGUGCCUUACGGCUCGCUAUAUGCGCCGGUGAAUGACGAGCAUUCGAGCGAAUGGGACCAAUCAGACUGAUUGGCCGACCGGUAUUUACAUUUCUGCGGGCAAGUCUGCCUCUGCAGCCUGCCUCGAGCAUCGCCAGGAGAUUCGAGACCAGAGAACAUCGAGGGCUGGCUGCCGGCUCCCGCGACGAGACGAACCGUGCAAACUGGAGACGAAAAGUCGUCGUCUCUCGACAACAGAGUACCUCUUGCGGGACCAUUAUUCUCUAAAACAAGCACGCUUUGACGCGACCGAUCGAUCCUUAAUUAAACGGUGUAACUUUCACGAAAGCUUGCACACACAGCCUCGUUUCGACCGGUAAUUUUAGUCCGUGUUCACACGCCAGGUUCCAGGUUUCACGGUUUACGAUCGUGGCCAAAGAAGUUGCUUCCCGGGGAAAGUUGGACACGGGAAGUUUGUCCGGAGGUUCGUUGCCGGAAGUUGCCAGUAUCUCGCUAGAACGAGGCCUCAGCGAGAAAAGUUUUUCGGUAUCUUCUGGCAUAACGUUACAUAGAGACGUCUACGGUCUACGGAAUAGUUUAUGGUUGUUGAGUGACGCGACGUCGCAUAACGAAAACGAUGCAUCGGGACUAGCUAAUUAAUAACCGCGGGUAACAAGCAGCAGAUGGAAUGAUGGCAGAAAGUUGGAUAGCACAGACCCUUUGGCCACGGUCGGUCUGUCGACCGACUGGUUGGGACACACACCCACGCGCUGCCCAUUAUUGCGCACGUGUGGUCCGGAUGGUCGCGUGCAUGCUAUUAGCAAAAAGGAGUGUCCCGAACACGUUACCGGUCCACACGGUAAAACAACUGUCCCCCUUCUUUGCAACGACCUUUCCGAGCGGCGGCCGUGAAAGGCGAGAAUACACUCUCGAGCACCGGUUUCCGGUUCUGACACCCAAGCUGCGUAUCUCUGUCCCUCUUUCGAAAUGGCUCUUCUUUUAUUUCGACUGGCUGUUCAUUAGGCCGCUAAUUAACGCUUAACGUCGGACGUGUUUGCAUUCACGCCGUCCUGCUACACAGAGAGGAUCAUCUCGUUCCCUUUCUUGCGUUAAGCAGCAGCUGAACCAUUAUGGUCAUUCGGUCAUAGCCCGAGGUUCUUUGGCCAGAGUUAUGGAUGACGAUAUACGUGAAGCUUCUAGAUAUUUUCGUGCCGAGGCGAGACGGGAACUACUUUCUGUAUACGUCUCAGAGAGACACGUGGAGUGAUUCCUCGAUCAAGGUUCUCGUGAAGGUUCAUCGAGGACCCGAGUUAAUUAUGAGAAUCAGAGGUACUGGUCACAGAGUGGUCCGUGAAGCACGUUUCGGAGUGUUAACGCGCCGCGUAAUAAUCUCGCGUCCGGUUUUAAUAACGUCGUACGGAGUGGCCGUUUCGCGAACUCCGUGAAUAUAUUCAGGGACAAUGUUAUUCCAGCUAGCCAUGCGGCCAUAUAUCAGCAACGAUUCUAUGCGCGGUCGCGUGCGGAGUAAUUACUUUUCGGUGCGCGGAGGCAUCGCUCAAAAGGCAACAUUUGCACGCGACGUGGAACCGACGUGCAGCGAAACGCACGCACGCACGUAUACGCGCGUGCAUUCGCGUACCCACACGUAGAUUCGUUCGCGUGUGUUGUCCGUGUACGGAAGGUAUAAAAAAAAGAACGAAAGAAAAAAAACCAUGCGGCUGCUGCCACGUUUCGAGGAUCGAGGGCGACAAUGGCUUCCUGUUUCAUCCCUGCGGGGCGUCCAGCUGUCUGUCUGGACUAUGGUUGCACGAAUGAAUCGUCCUCCGACUCCAUUGUGCCCGUUUUCCAGUUUUGCGUCGGGAUUGUUGCCUGCCAUGACAUCUUCACCGACCGAUCCUUCAUCAUUUUAGCGUUCUGUUUUCCCUAGUCCUCUUCCCAUCCUUUCGAAAAGUGACGCUUUUAUUCGGCAUCGUUGACUUUGGACGCUACCGUUGAAACCGUUCCAUGGAUUUAUACUUCUGGCGGGCUGUUGUGACGAACUGGUUCACGGAAUUUUUUGGGGAUUCUUUCGGUUCAGUUGUGAAAAGAACCAUCAACUCCCUGUCAUUUUUAUAUUACUUAUGAUUUAUUAGAAUAUUAAAGAGCAAGUAAUAACAGACAGGUUCUAACAUGCUGUCUUGAAAAUCCUUUGAGAGACGAAUCACAUGGAUCAGCCAUUUAUCACUUUGAUACUGAUCUCUUAAUACAAAUUUUUCUUUGAUUUAUCCGUCAGGAAUGAUUAAACGUUUUACAAUGAAAUAUAGCUAACGAUACAAACAGGCACUGUAUUUAGUUUGUUGUAGAUUAGUUUUAAAUAUCGUAAUAAAAUAUUGAAAACCAAAUAACAAUUUAAAAAUCUUAAUUGUUCCGCUAUUUACAUACCACGAUCUUUGAUGCCCUUACAAAAUCUUCAUCGUAAAUCAACGAAUUAAAGAAAAAUACAAUACAGCCUACUUUCUCGUUUCCAAUCUCCAAGAGGCUUCUUAAAAAGAUAACGUAUCGCAUUGGAUUUUUACGACAAGUCUCCGUUUCUCCUUCACUCUCUUUUUCUUUUUCUUUUUCGAUAGCUCCACGCCCUGGAUAAUCGAACGAGUGUAGUCAGCGAUAUACCGACGUCCCGAAGUCAUCUUUCAAAGGCAACCCCGCGACUCGAUCCGAGCCCGGGAUCGCCGUGUACGGGAUGAGCUACGGCAAACGAGGUAUUUCGAAAGGUUGGAACAGGGAGGCGUAGGCUGUUGCAGUUCGCGGAUGCGUAUACGUAAUGACCUUACGCGGCGCUUUUUUACGAUGCUUAUCAAAUGCAAAUCCUUCUUUAUUGCGAUUGGUAUUCUUAUUACGCUCCUUCUUUCUCCGCUCGACGUCAUCCGCACAUUUCGCCACGGUUUCUUUCUUUUCCCCUGC